rnacentral:rRNA from 1 species
UGGGAGCUCUCCCAUAUGGUCGACCUGCAGGCGGCCGCGAAUUCACUAGUGAUUCGUAUUACCGCGGCUGCUGGCACAGAGUUAACCGGUGCUUAUUCUGUCGGUAACGUCGAAACACUAACGUAUUAGGUUAAUGCCCUUCCUCCCAACUUAAAGUGCUUUACAAUCCGAAGACCUUCUUCACACACGCGGCAUGGCUGGAUCAGGCUUUCGCCCAUUGUCCAAUAUUCCCCACUGCUGCCUCCCGUAGGAGUCUGGACCGUGUCUCAGUUCCAAUGUGGCUGAUCAUCCUCUCAGACCAGUUACGGAUCGUCGCCUUGGUGAGCCAUUACCCCACCAACUAGCUAAUCCGACCUAGGCUCAUCUGAUAGCGCAAGGCCCGAAGGUCCCCUGCUUUCUCCCGUAGGACGUAUGCGGUAUUAGCGUCCGUUUCCGAGCGUUAUCCCCCACUACCAGGCAGAUUCCUAGGCAUUACUCACCCGUCCGCCGCUCUCAAGAGGUGCAAGCACCUCUCUACCGCUCGACUUGCAUGUGUUAGGCCUGCCCCCAGCGUUCAAUCUGAGCCAGGAUCAAACUCUAAUCGAAUUCCCGCGGCCGCCAUGGCG